rnacentral:rRNA from 1 species
AUUGAACGCUGGCGGCAGGCCUAACACAUGCAAGUCGAGCGGAGCGGCGGACGGGUGAGUAAUGCCUAGGAAUCUGCCUGGUAGUGGGGGAUAACGUCCGGAAACGGGCGCUAAUACAGCAUACUAUCAGAUGAGCCUAGGUCGGAUUAGCUGGUUGGUGGGGUAAAGGCCUACCAGGGCGACGAGCCGUAACUGGUCUGAGAGGAUGAUCAGGCACACUGGAACUGAGACACGGUCCAGACUCCUAUGGGAGGCAGCCGUGGGGAAGAUGGGAGAAUGGGCGAAAGCCUGCUGCAGCCAUGCCGCGUGUGUGAAGAAGGUCUUCGGUUUGUAAAGCACUUUAAGUUGUGAGGCGUUACCAACAGAAUAAGCCCCGGCUAACUUCGUUCCAGCAGCCGCGGUAAUAC